rnacentral:rRNA from 1 species
GACGAACGCUGGCGGCGUGCUUAACACAUGCAAGUCGAACGCUGAAGCGUGGUGCUUGCACUGGGGGGAUGAGUGGCGAACGGGUGAGUAAUACGUGAGUAACCUGCCCUUGACUCUGGGAUAAGCCUGGGAAACUGGGUCUAAUACUGGAUACGACAUGCCACUGCAUGGUGGUGUGUGGAAAGGGUUUUACUGGUUUUGGAUGGGCUCACGGCCUGUCAGCUUGUUGGUGAGGUAAUGGCCUACCAAGGCGACGACGGGUAGCCGGCCUGAGAGGGUGACACGGCCCAGUGGGACAGAGACACGGCCCAGACUCAUACGGGAGGCAGCGGUGGGGAAUAUUGCGCACUGCGCGGAAGGCGGAUGGAGCGACGCCGCGUGGGGAAUGACGGCUUUCGGGUUGUAACCCUUUUUCAGCAAGGAAGAAGCGAGAGUGACGGACCGUGCAGAAGAAGCGCCGGCUACCUACGU